CCCUUAGAUGUCCUGGGCUGCACGCGCGCUACACUGAAAGUUACGGAUUGACUUUUUACCUUGUCCGAAAUGGUCCGGGUAAUCACCUAAAAGCUUGUCAUAAUUGGAAUGGACUAUUGUAACUAGUAAUCCUGAACGAGGAAUUCCUAGUAAGUCCCAGUCAACAGCUGGUACUGAUUACGUCCCUGCCCUUUGUACACACCGCCCGUCGCUCCUACCGAUUGAAUGAUCCGAUGAAUAUCAUGGAUUGAGGAUGCAAGUAGGUUCGCCUAUCUUCAUCUUCGAGAAGUGAAGUAAAUCUUAUCAUUUAGAGGAAGGAGAAGUCGUAACA
rnacentral:rRNA from 1 species